rnacentral:rRNA from 1 species
UACGUAGGUGACAAGCGUUGUCCGGAUUUACUGGGCGUAAAGAGCGCGCAGGCGGUCGUUUCAAGUCGAGUGUGAAAGCCCCCGGCUCAACUGGGGAGGGUCACUCGAUACUGAUCGACUCGAAGGCAGGAGAGGGAAGUGGAAUUCCCGGUGUAGUGGUGAAAUGCGUAGAUAUCGGGAGGAACACCAGUGGCGAAGGCGACUUCCUGGCCUGUUCUUGACGCUGAGGAGCGAAAGCGUGGGGGAGCAAACAGG